GGGAGCAUUGUUCAAGUGGUAGAGCACUUGUCUAGUAAGCAUGAGAGUCUGAGUUCAAUUCCCAAUACUACCA
rnacentral:tRNA from 1 species